rnacentral:lncRNA from 1 species
CUCUUUGACUCCAGGGAUGGCCCCAUCUCGGCUGUGGAUCUAAUCAGCUCCAUCUGACCGCCAGCCUCCACAGUGAAGCUUCCGGCUACAGCUUCCACUGCAGGACAGGAGUUGAAGUGAGUGCUUCAGGUGGAUAAGCUUCGGCGCUCUCAACCUGGUUUGGAUCGUUUGACUAUGGCUCCGCGUUCUUUACAAUCUGAGUGCUUCAGGUGGAUAAGCUUCGGCGCUCUCAACCUGGUUUGGAUCACAGUCAGAAGAGAAGCCUUUGGGCAACUCGAUAAGAAUCAGGACUCACGGGGGUUGGGGGGAGCCUUCCCCCAGGGAAAACCUAAUAAGACUCAUUCUAAUACUUGAGUUCAAGCU